rnacentral:lncRNA from 1 species
CUCUUCAAGGGCAAAAUCGUAAUUUCACUAAAAUCCUGAUUUGAUAGUACCAUUUGGUAGAACAAAUGAUUUGAAAUCUAUUGGUGAAAAUUUUAUUGUGUUUGGACUUAUAUUUUUGAAGUUAUGAAGGUUUGAAGUGCAUGAGUCGACUCAUGAGUCAACUCAUGGCACUGUGAGCUGAUUGGCACGCAAAAAUUCUCCU